rnacentral:rRNA from 1 species
UCCCUUAGAUGUUCUCGGCCGCACACGCGCUACACUGAAAGAGGCAACGUGUUUGCCUGAUUCGAAAGAAUUGGGUAACCCCCUAAUCUCUUUCGUGCUGGGGAUUGAGGUUUGCAAUUAUCCUUCAUGAACGAGGAAUUCCCAGUAAGUGCGAGUCAUUAUCUCGCGCUGACUACGUCCCUGCCCUUUGUACACACCGCCCGUCGCUACUACCGAUUGAAUGAUUUAGUGAGGACUUCGGACUGAGUCCAAUGCGGCUUUCGGGCUGCGUUGGUAUUUCGGAAAGAUGUCCAAACUGUAUCAUUUAGAGGAAGUAAAAGUCGUAACA